CCAGGGUUAAAACUGGGUCAGGAUUGCCAGUGUGAAACCUGUUAUUUUGAAUAUAGGGCUUGGGCUUGCAGUGAAAAUGUUCGUUCAUGUGCUAUUUUGACAGAAAACACGCUAUUUGGGGAAGCUGGAGCAGGGAGAGAAGACUAUAUUUAUGAGGACGUCAGUGCCCGGAAAUGUUGUAGCGAACGUGGGAGGAAGCAAACAUCACGUGGAAGAGCCAUCCAUGGAAGCCAACAGAGCAGCUGGGAUUUUGCAGUGGCAGACUGUCAGCAAUACAGGACACAAAUAUGCAGGAAAUUGUUUCUCUGUAGCACAGUUUAGCUGGGACAUUAAGUAGAAUUAUUCCAAGAUGAAGAUUUUGGUUUUCAUUUCAGUGUUGGGAAAUAAGAAAAUCCACGCGUUUCUCAUGCUAAUAGGUGAUCAAGAGCAUGGAACACAUCAACAACUGGAAUCUGAGGGCCCAGAAGCAAUGUAAUACAGAAUAAUCUUUGGGAUUUCUAUUAUUUUUGUGCUUUGUUAUGAAACUGUGAUACCACUGCCAGUUAUCCCUUUAAUCUGUUUUCUAUUUACUUGCUCAUCAUACAAAUCUACCAGUUCUGCCAACUUAGGUGGUAACUGUUGCAUUUAGUAGACAUCUGCUGUUCCAUUUCUUUACACUGUUCCACACACCUAGAAAAAUGGCUACUGAACACAUGCAAUCACUUAUAUACAAACAGUAGGUCUUGAAGCUGAUUUUAAAAAAGCCUGUUCAUUUUCUCACUCUUCCUUUUAAUUUACAAACUAGUUGUUACAUCUUCCUUUCACUUUCUUCAGUUUUCUCUUAAUAGUCUAGGUAUGAUAGCAAUGCAUUAAGCAUUCUCUGUCAUUUUGCAUUUUCAUUAACAGAGAACUAUUCUGUAGGAAAACCUGUAUCCCCUAGUAAAGGUAAAAGAUUGCUCACUGAAAGAAAAAUGUUUUUUUCUCUGUAGAUAAAAUACUUCAGUUGUGCAAGUGUUGGCAGGAAUAUUUACUAAAUAUUCGCAAUUAUUAAACAUUUAAUACAGUGAUUCU